rnacentral:tRNA from 4 species
GCGGAAGUAGCUCAGUUGGUAGAGCGUCAGCCUUCCAAGCUGAAUGUCGCGAGUUCGAACCUCGUCUUCCGCU